rnacentral:rRNA from 1 species
UGUAACGCGUGGAUAACCUGCCCUUUAGACCGGGAUAACGCCGGGAAACCGGUGCUAAUAUCGGAUACGUUCAGCUGGCUGCAUGGGCAGCUGAGGAAAGGAGCAAUCCGCUAAAGGAUGGGUCCGCGUCCCAUUAGCUUGUUGGUAGGGUAACGGCCUACCAAGGCGACGAUGGGUAGCCGGCCUGAGAGGGCGACCGGCCACACUGGAACUGAGACACGGUCCAGACUCCUACGGGAGGCAGCAGUGGGGAAUCUUCCGCAAUGGGCGCAAGCCUGACGGAGCAACGCCGCGUGAGUGACGAAGGUCUUCGGAUUGUAAAACUCUGUCCAGAGGGAAGAAGCAAGUGACGGUACCUCUGGAGGAAGCCCCGGCUAACUACGUGCCAGCAGCCGCGGUAAAACGUAGGGGGCGAGCGUUGUCCGGAAUUACUGGGCGUAAAGGGCGUGUAGGCGGCUUGGUAAGUCAGUCGUGAAACCUACCGGCUCAACCGGUAGCUGGCGAUUGAAACUGCCGGGCUUGAGUGCAGUAGAGGGGAGUGGAAUUCCCAGUGUAGCGGUGAAAUGCGUAGAUAUUGGGAGGAACACCGGUGGCGAAAGCGGCUCCCUGGCCUGUAACUGACGCUGAGGCGCGAAAGCGUGGGUAGCAAACAGGAUUAGAUACCCUGGUAGUCCACGCCGUAAACGAUGGGUGCUGGGUGUUGGGGGUAUCGACCCCUCCAGUGCCGCAGUUAACGCAAUAAGCACCCCGCCUGGGGAGUACGGCCGCAAGGCUGAAACUCAAAGGAAUUGACGGGGGCCCGCACAAGCGGUGGAGUAUGUGGUUUAAUUCGACGCAACGCGAAGAACCUUACCAGGUCUUGACAUCC